CCAGGAAGGUUUUUGGAUCGUAAACCCCUUUUGUCAAGGAAGAAGCUCUGACGGUACUUGACGAAUAAGCCUCGGCUAACUCCGUGCCAGCAGCCGCGGUAAUACGGAGGAGGCAAGCGUUAUCCGGAAUGAUUGGGCGUAAAGCGUCUGUAGGUGGCCAGCUAAGUCUGCUGUUAAAGAUCACAGCUCAACUGUGGGAAGGCAGUGGAAACUGGCAAGCUAGAGGUUGGUAGGGGUAAAGGGAAUUCCCGGUGUAGCGGUGAAAUGCGUAGAUAUCGGGAAGAACACCGGUGGCGAAAGCGCUUUACUGGGCCAGACCUGACACUGAAGGACGAAAGCUAGGGGAGCGAAAGGGAUUAGAUACCCCUGUAGUC
rnacentral:rRNA from 1 species